rnacentral:rRNA from 1 species
GACGAACGCUGGCGGCGUGCCUAAUACAUGCAAGUUGAGCGCUGAAGGUUGGUACUUGUCCCCACUGGAUGAGCAGCGAACGGGUGAGUAACGCGUGGGGAAUCUGCCUUUGAGCGGGGGACAACAUUUGGAAACGAAUGCUAAUACCGCAUAAAAACUUUAAACACAAGUUUUAAGUUUGAAAGAUGCAAUUGCAUCACUCAAAGAUGAUCCCGCGUUGUAUUAGCUAGUUGGUGAGGUAAAGGCUCACCAAGGCGAUGAUACAUAGCCGACCUGAGAGGGUGAUCGGCCACAUUGGGACUGAGACACGGCCCAAACGCCUACGGGAGGCAGCAGUAGGGAAUCGUCGGCAAUGGACGAAAGUCUGACCGAGCAACGCCGCGUGAGUGAAGAAGGUUUUCGGAUCGUAAAACUCUGUUGGUAGAGAAGAACGUUGGUGAGAGUGGAAAGCUCAUCAAGUGACGGUAACUACCCAGAAAGGGACGGCUAACUACGUG